UCUGCACGCCUCCCGCAGCCUCAGUUUCCCUGUCCGUGGUACUGAGGAUGCUCGGGCCUAGAAGUUCAGGGCUGGAGGCCCAGGGACCGUCGAGGGAGGGGCAUCAUCCCCGCCAUGGGGCCGCCGCAACUGCCCAGAGCACAGGCCAAAGGAAGCUGCAGGAUGAAGACAACAGCAUCACAAGGAGGAAGCCAGGAUCCCUGUGUUACCACAAGGAGGAGAGAUGCCUAACCAAGACCGUCUGCAAGGAUUUUGUGUGAGCCAGAAGCAGAGCUGUAUGGUGUUCAGCCACUGAGAUUUGAGGGCUGUUUGUUACAGCAGUUGACCUAUCCUGACUGACACAUCACAUCAUUCCUUUCCCCACCAUGUGUCUAACAUGCUACCAAAUUGAAUUUUAAGUAAAUUAGUACUUAUAAAUUAAGUACAAAUGCUUUUCAAAUUCACAUGAAUCUUUGGUAAAUAAAACUGGUUGUAAAAUUAUUGAUAAAUAU
ensembl:lncRNA CHKA-DT CHKA divergent transcript